AAAUUGAAGAGUUUGAUCAUGGCUCAGAUUGAACGCUGGCGGCAGGCCUAACACAUGCAAGUCGAACGGUAACAGGAAGCAGCUUGCUGCUUCGCUGACGAGUGGCGGACGGGUGAGUAAUGUCUGGGAAACUGCCUGAUGGAGGGGGAUAACUACUGGAAACGGUAGCUAAUACCGCAUAACGUCGCAAGACCAAAGAGGGGGACCUUCGGGCCUCUUGCCAUCGGAUGUGCCCAGAUGGGAUUAG
rnacentral:rRNA from 2 species